UACGUAGGGUGCAAGCGUUGUCCGGAAUUAUUGGGCGUAAAGAGCGUGUAGGCGGCCCGAUUAGUCCGCUGUGAAAGUCCAGGGCUCAACCCUGGAAUGCCGGUGGAUACUGUCGGGCUAGAGUCCGGAAGGGGCGAGUGGAAUUCCUGGUGUAGCGGUGAAAUGUGUAGAGAUCGGGAGGAACACCGGUGGCGAAGGCGGUCUUCUGGACGGUGACUGACGCUGAGGCACGAAGGUCAGGGGAGCAAACGGG
rnacentral:rRNA from 1 species